CCCAGACUCCUACGGGAGGCAGCAGUGGGGAAUAUUGCACAAUGGGGGAAACCCUGAUGCAGCGACGCCGCGUGAGUGAAGAAGUAAUUCGUUAUGUAAAGCUCUAUCAGCAGGGAAGAAAAUGACGGUACCUGAGUAAGAAGCCCCGGCUAACUACGUGCCAGCAGCCGCGGUAAUACGUAGGGGGCAAGCGUUAUCCGGAUUUACUGGGUGUAAAGGGAGCGUAGGUGGCAGGGCAAGUCAGAUGUGAAAACCCGGGGCUCAACCCCGGGAGUGCAUUUGAAACUGUCCAGCUGGAGUGCAGGAGAGGUAAGCGGAAUUCCUAGUGUAGCGGUGAAAUGCGUAGAUAUUAGGAGGAACACCAGUGGCGAAGGCGGCUUGCUGGACAGAGACUGACGUUGAGGCUCGAAAGCGUGGGGAGCAAACAGGAUUAGAUACCCCCGUAUAU
rnacentral:rRNA from 1 species